UACGGAGGGUGCAAACGUUGCUCGGAAUCAUUGGGCGUAAAGCGCACGUAGGUGGCUUGUUAAGUCGGGUGUGAAAUCCCUGGGCUCAACCCAGGAAGUGCAAUCGAAACUGGCGAGCUUGAGUACUGAAGAGGGUCGCGGAAUUCCCGGUGUAGAGGUGAAAUUCGUAGAUAUCGGGAGGAACACCAGUGGCGAAGGCGGCGACCUGGGCAGAUACUGACACUGAGGUGCGAAAGCGUGGGGAGCAAACAGG
rnacentral:rRNA from 1 species